rnacentral:rRNA from 1 species
GGCUUAUUGAUAGGAGAAUUUUAGGUCUAGCCUGCCCCCUGAUUAUUUAAAUGGCCGCAGUAUUUUGACUGUGCUAAGGUAGCAUAAUAAUUAGUUUUUUAAUUGAAAGCUAGUAUGAAUGGUAUUAUGAAAAAAUUUCUGUCUCUUUUAAAAAAUUAAAAUUUUAUUUUUAAGUAAAAAAGCUUAAAUAACAUUAAAAGACGAGAAGACCCUAUAGAAUUUUAUUUAAAUAAGUUUUUAGUAAAUUAGUAAUUAAUAUUUAAAAAUAAAUUUAUAUUUAAUUGGGGUGAUUAGAAAAAUUAAAAAUCUUUUUUUUAUUUUAACAUUAAUUUAUGACUAUAUGAUUCAUGGUAGUGAUUUAAGAAUAAAUUACCUUAGGGAUAACAGCGUUAUUUUUUUUUAGAGUUCUAAUCAAGAAAAAAGAUUGCGACCUCGAUGUUGGAUUAAAAUUAAUUUUUGGUGUAGUAGCUGAAGUAUUGAGUCUGUUCGACUUUAAAAAUUUUACA